UACGAGUGCCUCAAGCGUUAUCCGGAAUCAUUGGGCGUAAAGCGUGCGUAGCCGGUUAUUUAAGUCGGGUGUGAAAGCCCCGGGCUCAACCUGGGAAUUGCAUUCGAGACUGAAUAGCUAGGGUGCGGAAGAGGGAAGCGGAAUUUCCGGUGUAGCGGUGAAAUGCGUAGAUAUCGGAAGGAACACCAGUGGCGAAAGCGGCUUCCUGGUCCAGCACCGACGUUCAGGCACGAAAGCGUGGGGAGCAAACAGG
rnacentral:rRNA from 1 species